CCCACAAACCACCGAAAUUCCGGUUGUUACUCCCCACAAAAAACCGACCCGAGUCCGGUUAUUCACCUGGAAACCCGAAAACCGGUUUCAUUUCCUUGUGUUCUGACUUCCACUUGCCCCAAAAGCUUUAUUUUGAACGAGGGCUCCAAAAUUUUCUUGCCAACAGUCAAUUACUUUCCCAGGAAAAUCGCAGAGAAAAUAGAGUCAAUUUUUCUAAAAGAUUUGAAAGGAAAAUGUUAGGUUCAAACUCUCCAGGCCGACGAACUCUCUGCAAGACUCAUUCGACAUCAACCAGACCUAUCUGCAGCGCAAGCUCAUCCUUCAGAACCACGAGCCUCGCAAGCUCAUGGAUUGAGCAAAGAUAGCUACACCAAGCUGGAAAUCGAAGGUUCUUUGUAUUUACAUCGAGUUCUGCACCAUAUAAUUGUCAAGGGUUAUGACAACAACAGACCAUGUUUAUGAGGUAGGUGUUUCAUUUAAAACAACGCAUCUUUCUAUUGAUAGCAACUUUUUAAAAUCUUCUUUUGAUGAAAGUUGGGGUAUUCUAUAUGUUCCUUUUAUGUAUGUCCUAAUUGCAGGUUCAUUUGAAUGAUAUAUAGGUUAGUAGUAAUGACAUUGCCUUUAAUAUUGUGGAUGAAAAUGAAUUCAAUAAGAAUGUAUUAAAGGUUGAAAUUCUCAUGCUUCUUGUGUUUAUUUUUUAAUUUUCAUUAUUAUUUUCUUUUUUUGGUAAAACCUUGUGUUUAUUUUGUUAAUAAUUGUUAUUUGCUCAGAUAUUUUAGAUGCCAACUGCUUGUGUUUCAAUGUAAGAGAUUUUCAUUGGAACAUCCCUUUACCGCAAUAGUAAAGUUAGUUGCUUACGAUAUGGUAAAGUUAGUUGCUUACGAUAUGGUUUUAAUAGAAUAUGUAUGAUAAAGUUUGAGAUAUUUAAGGCUUCGGAGGUCAACAUACAAUCAAAUCUGCCAAAGUUAAGGUAUCUAAAUAUAUGGUUAGGUGAUUACAGACUACAAAUCUAUCAAAAUAUAUUGACUAAUUUGGCUUUGAUAUGAUUGUUGUUUGCAAACAAUAUAAUCUCUAAGCUAUUUUGCAUCCACUGAUUUGACUGAGUUUUGUGAUGUUAUGUUUUUUUUUUUUUUUUUUUUUUUUUUUUUUUUUUUUUUUUUUUUUGGUUGUGUUCUUGUUUAUUUACUUCUUUUUUUGUUUGCUAAGUUCGUUGGGUUGUUUACUGUAUUGAAAAAAAAUUAGGUGAGCAAUCCAUGUAGGUGAGCAAAUUAAAAUAUUUUUAUGCAUAUUAUAUUGUGAAAAAAAUGUAUAUUUGUGAUAUCUAGGUGAGCAAUCCAUGUAGCAAGGUAUUUAACUGAAGGUAUACGAUAAAUCAUCCCAGUCAUUAAUUUUUAUUCAUCCAACCGUAAUAGAACCUUAGUCUCAUAUUCUAACCCUAAUAGGAUUCUAAUCGAUUUCUAAUUUUUGUACUCUGCCUUCAUAUAUAUAUAUAUAUAUAUAUAUUUAUAUCGUGACAAAAAGCAUCAAUUAUAUAACAUAACAUCAAUGUUUAUGCAAUGAAAAACGAACGCUCUUUGACCUACCCGAAUUGGGCAUGUAUUCAUGGAGAUGUCUUUGUUUUACAAAGAAAACCGCAUAGAGCAAAGCAAGCACCAACCUCCAUGGCUAUUGGUGGGUCCUUAUCAGAAAAACCUUAGAUUAUACAAUAUCAUGAAUGAUGAAAUCUGCAAAUUUGAGUUACAAAUUCCGGAUCAGUAUGAAAUUUCUCGUUUUGAUUCUUGUCACGGUUGGUUGUUUGUUUGGAAGACCAAAAAUUCUAAGAUAAUGGUUUUGAACCCACUUUCCGGAAAGUUCUUUGAUCUUCCACCAUUCGAUAGAGGUAAAAUUGAUAUAAAAAACCAUGGCAUAUUAAUGGCUGGAUUGUCAAGAGACCCAUCUUUUGGAUCUUUUGAGGCUUUUGUGAGUUGUCAAUAUUAUUGUGCCUAUAUAAAUUUUGGUGAUGAAUAUUGGACAUGCUCGAUGCCAAAUAGCAUUCGUCGCAUUAUUAAUGUAGAAUUUUUCCAAGGUGGUUGAUUGCUGGGUAUCACCUUCUACUGUACAAUUGUGUCUAUAGAUAUAAUUAGGGAUGAUAAUGAUGAUAGUGAUUCUUCUAAGGAGCAAUCUUCUAGGUACUUCAAGAUGAGCGAGAUUGCACCAGCUUUUGAGGAUUCAUCGUGUUAUCACAAAGGAUGUUUAGUGAAAGCCAUAAAUGGGGAUCUUCUUUUGGUGUAUAGAUAUUGUUAUAUGAACGAUUUGAGUUUGAAUACAUGCAAAAUAUACAAAUUGAUA